UCUGUAGCUCAGUGGUAGAGCAUCUGACCAGUGCGCGGAAGGUCAUAGAUUCGACUCCUGUUGGGAGAA
rnacentral:tRNA from 1 species